GAUGAAGAACGCAGCGAAAUGCGAUACGUAAUGUGAAUUGCAAAUUCAGUGAAUCAUCGAGUCUUUGAACGCAAGUUGCGCCCGAAGCCAUUAGGCCGAGGGCACGCCUGCCUGGGUGUCACACACCGUUACCCUCGCGCCAACGUCCAUCGUUGGCCGCGGCGCGGGGCGUGCGCUGACCUCCCGCGAGCGGGGUCUCGUGGUUGGUUGAAAAUCGAGUUCGCGGUCGAGGGUGCCGUGAUGAAAUGGUGGAUGGGCGACGCCCGAGGCCAAUCACGCGCGACUCUGUCCGGCUCGGACUCCUGGACCCCUUCGGCGUCUCCGGACGCUCUUUGGCGAGACCUCAGGUCAGGCGGGGCUACCCGCUGAGUUUAAGCAUAUCAAUAAGCGGAGGA
rnacentral:misc_RNA from 1 species